AGCAUUUAUCUUAAAAAACGUAAAGGCCUCCACUUCCCCAUUCUCAGAAACUGAGCGUGCUAUUCACCACCACGCGCCUCCACUCACCACCGCAGCGCUUCCAGGGAAAAAAAAAUACACAAACACAAAGCAGCGCCUAUGAAAAAAAAAAGACCCCCUCCCCCCCUUUUGUGAUCUCCGCAUGCGUGAUUUGCACGCGCCGCUUUGUUGCGGCUCUGUUCCUGGUUGUUGAGCUUGAGUACUAGCUUGAGCUUAUCAUCAAACCCUAACCCUAAUUCAACUUCCUCUUCUUCUUCUUCUUCUUCUUCCCUGCUCUGUAAACACUCUCCAUCAGCCACCCUAGACAUUCUAAUUCUGAUUCUGGUUCUCUUCGCAGGGAUUUUCCUCUUAACUUCUUACUUUUCUUAUAUAUUUCGCUCUCUUUCCAUCCUCCUCUCUCACUCUUCCCUCCACCUUUCCAUCCAUGUCCCUCCCGUUCCCUACAUUUGCGGCUUCUUGGCGCUGUUCCUCCUUUCUAUUCUUUUUGUUGAGUUCUGCUGCGGUCCGAGAUCUCGCAAGUGCGAGAAGCCUGGAUGCAAGGGAUUGAAGAAGGCGAUGGAGUUCGAUUUACAGUUGCAAACGGAGGAUUGUCUGAAAUCCAGUGGAGCUAAGGAGUUCGAUAAGUUGCC
rnacentral:misc_RNA from 1 species